rnacentral:tRNA from 1 species
GCCUGGCUGGCUCAGUCAGUGAAGCUUGGGACUCUCGAUCUCGGGGUUGUGGGUUCGAGUCCCACAUUGGGUG